GCUCCCUCAAGCCAUUUUCGAGCUUGAGACUGCUCUGCUCAUCCCAGAGGCCUCAGUUAUCCCCCCACUGCAUAGCUGUAUAUUCUAGUUGUGAGUGCCUCUAGUUGUGGCAUGUGGGACACCGUCUCAGCAUGGCCUGAUGAGCAGUGCCAUGUCCCCACCCAGGAUCCCAACCGGCGAAACCUUGGGCUGCCAAAGCGGAGCAUGCGAACUUAACCACUAGGCCACUGGGCCGGCCCCUCAUGUGAUUUUUUGAGCUACAUAAGCCUGUCAUUAGGUAUCAUGGAAUGAGCACCUCAUCUCUGUGAACAGUCGCCCCUAACUCUUCCUUCCCGACAAAAGAAUUCUGUCCUGACGGCACCCACUGUCUCUCCAUCUCCACCCGCCCUGUCCCCCCACUGCAGCUCUGCCUGGCUGCCUCUUUGCCAACUCCCGCAAAGAGUCUACUUCACGUUAGAUAAGGAUUCGAGGAGUCAUGUAUUGUUUUUAAAAGGAAGGAGGAGAGCAGACGCAGUCCUAAAACUGCAGGAGGAAAAGGAGGUGAUUCUGUGUCACGUUUGUUUUCAAGAGGGAUGCAGAUGAAAAGAGAAGCACAGGCGAAGCUGCCCAGCGUGCUGAGAUGAAGGAAAGCAUGGCCUUUGCCAAGCGGUGCCAUGUCCGCACCCGGGAUCCGAAACCACGAACCCCAGGCUGCCAAGAAGCGGAACAUGGGAACUUAACCUCUGUGCCACCGGGCCGGCCCCAGCGUUCCUGUGCCUUUUUCGGGGACAGUCUUUCAUGUAAUCAAUUCUUCUAUCAGCUGCCACCUUCAUUCCAGUGCACUUUCAAGCCCUUUCCUGGUACUACCAAGUCACACUGUCUUCAUUUGACAUUUGGUCCUGGAUGUCUUUCUGGAGUUUGGGAGGUUUUACCAGUAUACCUGAACGGACCAUCUUCCAGAGUCGAUUAAAUCAUACAAUAUUGCCUGAGAAAUGCAUCUCAUGAGCUGCUUAUGCCCAGGAAAAUUACCCUGGAGAGAAAACUGAACACUGGAUAAAAAGAGCCCCAACAACAAGG
rnacentral:lncRNA from 1 species